CUAGGUAAAAAAGAAGGCAUUGACAGAGUACAGAGGCCAAUGGUCACAGUUGAACACUGACUCCCGCCUCUUGGGCCUACGUUGGGUCGCCAGGUCAGAAACAGAUUCUCGUUCGUCCAGAACCUGAGUGUGAAGGACCUGUUCACCCCUGUGGAUGUGCUGAACUAUUUCUGCUCUCAGAGAAGGGCAAGGCAGAGGCUCCAGCCAUCAUCCUGUCCGCCUGUCCAAACAAAGACCAAACUUCUCUCACCCCCAAAUUACAGGUUGCAGCCAGUUUACCGCCCAGGGGAAAGACUUACCUCAGAACUGAAGCCUCACACUAAGGGUGUGAUCCUGCCCCCACUGCUCAGCCGCCACC